UAAUGGGUGAUAGCGUGCCUUUUGUAGAAUGAACCGGCGAGUUACGAUUUGUUGCAAGGUUAAGCGGAAAAAGCGGAGCCGUAGCGAAAGCGAGUCUGAAUAGGGCGCAUAAGUAACAGGUCGUAGACCCGAAACCAGGUGAUCUACCCAUGUCCAGGAUGAAGGUAAGGUAAUACUUACUGGAGGUCCGAACCCACGCACGUUGAAAAGUGCGGGGAUGAGGUGUGGGUAGCGGAGAAAUUCCAAUCGAACUUGGAGAUAGCUGGUUCUCUCCGAAAUAGCUUUAGGGCUAGCCUCGAGGUAAAGAGUCAUGGAGGUAGAGCACUGUUUGGACUAGGGGCCCUUCUCGGGUUACCGAAUUCAGAUAAACUCCGAAUGCCAUGUACUUAUACUCGGGAGUCAGACUGCGAGUGAUAAGAUCCGUAGUCGAAAGGGAAACAGCCCAGACCACCAGUUAAGGUCCCCAAAUAUAUGUUAAGUGGAAAAGGAUGUGGGGUUGCUUAGACAACCAGGAUGUUGGCUUAGAAGCAGCCACCAUUGAAAGAGUGCGUAAUAGCUCACUGGUCGAGUGACCCCGCGCCGAAAAUGUACCGGGGCUAAACAUAUUACC
rnacentral:rRNA from 1 species